ACAAGGUAAAUAUAAAAAGACUAACUGAGGUGGUUUUACAUUUUUAGCAUUUUUGUGUGAUUUAUGGUGUAUUUAUUGGCCUAAUCAUAAAAUAAAUCCUACAGAGAUAAAUACAAUAGUGACAUGCACAAAAUUAUUUUUCUAUGAAACUACUCAUCAUAUAGAUCCUGAGAAAGUUGGUUUUAUAUUUUCCCAUUUUUCUACCAUUUUCUACACAUUUUCAAAGUUUGCAACAUUUUAAAACUAGCACUUUUAAACAAAACUGAAAGUAUUUUGCAACCUACCCCCUGGAAAACAUGUUCUCUCAUAGAUCUACCCUUUCCUUUUCAUCCUACCCCCUGCAUUUUAUGCUCCAGCCCCUG
rnacentral:lncRNA from 1 species